rnacentral:rRNA from 1 species
AAUAUUGGACAAUGGGCGAAAGCCUGAUCCAGCUAUGCUGCGUGUGUGAAGAAGGUCUUCGGAUUGUAAAGCACUUUAAGUUGGGAGGAAGGGUUGUAGGUUAAUACCCUGCAAUUUUGACGUUCACAACAGAAUAAGCACCGGCUACCUUCGUGCAGGAAGCCGCGGUAAUACGAAGGGUGCAAGCGUUAAUCGGAAUUACUGGGCGUAAAGCGCGCGUAGGUGGUUCGUUAAGUUGGAAGUGAAAGCCCCGGGCUUAACCUGGGAAUUGCUUUCAAAACUGACGAGCUAGAGUACGGUAGAGGAUAGUGGAAUUUCCUGUGUAGCGGUGAAAUGCGUAGAUAUAGGAAGGAACAUCAGUGGCGAAGGCGACUACCUGGACUGAUACUGACACUGAGGUGCGAAAGCGUGGGGAGCAAAC